rnacentral:rRNA from 1 species
AACCUGCCCUUGGCAGGGGAACAACAGCUGGAAACGGCUGCUAAUACCCCAUAGGCUGAGGAGCAAAAGGAGGAAUCCGCCCAAGGAGGGGCUCGCGUCUGAUUAGUUAGUUGGUGAGGCAAUGGCUUACCAAGGCGACGAUCAUUAGCUGGUCCGAGAGGAUGAUCAGCCACACUGGGACUGAGACACGGCCCAGACUCCUACGGGAGGCAGCAGUGGGGAAUUUUCCGCAAUGGGCGAAAGCCUGACGGAGCAAUGCCGUUUGAAUGCAGAAGGCCCACGGUUCAUGAACUUCUUUUCUCGGAGAAGAAAAAAUGACGGUAUCUGAGGAAUAAGCAUCGGCUAACUCUGUGCCA